GUUAUCGGUCGGAUCAUCGCGCCGCUCAUCGAGCGGUGAGGAAAGUCCGAACACCACAGGGCACCGUGCUUCCUAACGGGAAGGCAGUUGCGUUCAGCGACUGACGGCAAGUGCAACAGAAAGCAAACCAGCCGACGUCCCGGUUAUCCGGGAUCCGGUGAUGGGUGAAAUGGUGGGGUAAGAGCCCACCGGCGCUUCGGGUGACCGUUGCGGCCAGGCAAACCCCACGGGGUGCAAGGCCAAGCAGUACUGCUCCACCGCAAGGUGGGAAAGACGGCCCGUCUUGAAUGCAGUACGGGUAGGCUGCUCGAGGCCUGCGGUGACGCAGGUCCCAGAUAAAUGAUGAUCUCCUCGCACGCGCCCCGGCGGAAGGCAGGCGGGAAGACAGAAUUCGGCUUACAGACCGAUAACACCG
rnacentral:RNase_P_RNA from 1 species